rnacentral:rRNA from 1 species
GGCUCAGAAUCAACGCUGGCGGCGUGCCUAACACAUGCAAGUCGAACGAGAAAGUGGGGGCAACCCUGCGAGUACAGUGGCAGACGGGUGAGUAACACGUGAACAACCUACCCUUGAGUGGGGAAUAACACCGCGAAAGCGGUGCUAAUACCGCAUAAAAUCUUUAGUUUGCAUGAACUGGAGAUCAAAAGCGCAAGUUGCUUGAGGAGGGGUUCGCGGCUGAUUAGCUAGUUGGUGAGGUAACGGCCCACCAAGGCAACGAUCAGUAGCCGGCCUGAGAGGGCGGACGGCCACACUGGAACUGAGACACGGUCCAGACUCCUACGGGAGGCAGCAGUGGGGAAUUUUGCGCAAUGGACGAAAGUCUGACGCAGCAACGCCGCGUGGAGGAUGAAGGCCUUCGGGUCGUAAACUCCUGUCGAUGGGGACGAAGGCCUCGCGAGAGGUUUGACUGUACCCGUUGAGGAAGCCACGGCUAACUCCGUGCCAGCAGCCGCGGUAAUACGGAGGUGGCAAGCGUUGUUCGGAAUUACUGGGCGUAAAGGGCGCGUAGGCGGCGGAACAAGUCAGAUGUGAAAGCCCCGGGCUUAACUCGGGAAUUGCAUCUGAAACUGUUUUGCUUGAGUUCUGGAGGGGAUGGUGGAAUUCCCAGUGUAGCGGUGAAAUGCGUAGAUAUUGGGAGGAACACCUGCGGCGAAGGCGGCCAUCUGGACAGAGACUGACGCUGAGGCGCGAAAGCUAGGGGAGCGAACGGGAUUAGAUACCCCGGUAGUCCUAGCCGUAAACGAUGGGCACUUGGUGUUGGGGGUAUUGAGUCCCUCGGUGCCGGAGCUAACGCGAUAAGUGCCCCGCCUG